AGCUACGCCUAAGCCGAUUAGAUUAUGAAUCCGCUGUCAAAUUUCCAAUAAUCUCUGUCGGAUUUGUCCAUAAAACGAGGUACACUGACACUGACAUCGGACAUGCCCGUGAAAUCGUCAAUUCAAAUCGAUUAUUCAUAGUUUUUCUUCGAGCAGCGAGUGAUGACAUCAGUUGAAAUUUUUCGUCGAAAUCAUUUAGCUUACGAGUAAAUUAUUAUAGUACACAACUCUAACCUUGUGAUUAUGGUCCGUGUUGAGGCUCUGUAUCCCUUUUCACUUAUCAAAAUCAAAUUUGUGACGAACGAUUGUCUUCUAUCGCGGCGCGUAUGUUCGCUUAUGGUUACAUCAAUACAACAUCGUGAUUGGACCGCAUACACACGCCAAUCGUGACCUAUAUUGGCGCUACCGUGCAGUAGAUAAUAAUGUAAUAUGUACUAUUUAUUAACGUAAUACUAUUAAGUUAUAAUAUGCGUGUGGAUACGAUGUGACUAUGGAAAGAAAACUUAAUCACAAUUAAUACCUAUUCCUUAGUAAAAAUA